UGUGAACAUGUUCAUCUAGCGGGCUGCAGCAUCCCAGUUCAGUUGCCAAUUACAGCUAAAGCUAUGCAGUUUGCUCUAUACUUCAUUUCGUUUGGUUUGAUUGUAGAAGUUUCAAGCUUUGGAUACACAAGGGAACCGUUUGUAAAGAAUUUGAAGUGUUUGUUCCGCGUUAAUCCUGGUCCAUGCAAAGGCAAAUAUGUAAUGUUUGGCUACGAUCCCUUUGCCAGACAAUGCUCUAAAUUCUUUUACAGUGGCUGCGGUGGAAAUCCAAACCGUUUCGGCUCAGAGUUAGAAUGUCGGCAUGCUUGCAAGAAAGUUGUAGCCGUGGAUGAAUAUGAAGAAUAUGAAUACACUGAUGAUCAUCAUACAGAUAUAACAUUUCCAGACGUUGAAUAUACAGAUAAUAAUGAUAAUAAAAAUACUGACGUAGCUUACGUUACGGAUGACGAUGAUAAAAAUUACGAAUAUCAAUAAUUAAAAACAAAAGGAAAGAUCCAAAAAAUUGAAGCAAUGAAAACCAAAACGAACAAAAAUAAAAAAAUUAUAAUUUAAAUAUAAAAAAGUUAUCAACGCUUACAAGAUGAGAAAAUAAAGGACGCUAUUAAUCAUGUCUUAGAAAAGUUAAACAGUUGUAAAUUAAAAAACGACACACAUAUCUUACAAAAUUGUUAUAUUUUUAUGAAAUAGUCAUUGUAAAAAAGCAGCUGAUGCUAAAUUUUAAGUUAAUGGCAAUGUAGUGUAAUAAACAAUUCGUGCGGCUCAAGGCAGUUAUAUUUAAA